UUCCUGCGGCUUUUGGUCCCUCCCGCUUGCAGUCCCUCUGGUUCUGCCCACUCCGCCUCCCGGUUGUCAGGGCAACCGUAGCGACGCCGGACCUGGCUGAGAGGCGUUAGGAGCCCCGGCGUUCGCCCGCGGAGGCCGGGGAGCAGCCGACCAUGGAGCCCCAGAACCGAACAGAACCCAAACUCCUUCCCUUGCUUACAAGCCUACAUGAUCUAGCCUUUGUUCGCCUUGAUGAUGUCUCUACUACCCUCACCUAGUAGGCUACUAUGCUCCAAGUAAAAUGACAUGCUGUCUGUUCAUGAAUCAUGCCAAGUCCACUCCUCAAGGAGCUUGGUCAAUGUGUUCUGGACAAAGCAGGAAGAUGUGACUGAAAUCCUGAAAGGAGCCGGCUCCUGCAGCACAAGAAUAAUGAUACAUCUGGGUACAUUUCUCUUCACAGCAUUUGAUAGUGGCUCCAAAGUGCUUACAAAAUGCACAUCGCUGAAAGGGGUAAAGGAGAGAAAUCUCUUUAUAAAACCUUGAAAAGGAAUAUUCAAAUAUAAACUGGGAAGGUAUAAAAAACUCUCUGUACAUCACAAGUAAACAAAUUGAACCUGCAAAAUAUUAAACAAAGGAUUCGU
rnacentral:lncRNA from 1 species